GGGGCAGUAGCUUAGCGGAUAGAGCCCUCGCUUGGUAUGCGAAAAGACCCGAUUCAACUCCCGGCUGCUCCG
rnacentral:tRNA from 1 species